AUUGAACGCUGGCGGCAUGCCUUACACAUGCAAGUCGAACGGCAGCACGGGAGCAAUCCUGGUGGCGAGUGGCGAACGGGUGAGUAAUAUAUCGGAACGUGUCCAGUUGUGGGGGAUAGCCCGGCGAAAGCCGGAUUAAUACCGCAUACGACCUACGGGUGAAAGCGGGGGAUCGCAAGACCUCGCGCUAUUGGAGCGGCCGAUGUCAGAUUAGCUUGUUGGGGGGUAAAAGCCUACCAAGGCGACGAUCUGUAGCUGGUCUGAGAGGACGACCAGCCACACUGGGACUGAGACACGGCCCAGACUCCUACGGGAGGCAGCAGUGGGGAAUUUUGGACAAUGGGCGCAAGCCUGAUCCAGCCAUGCCGCGUGCGGGAAGAAGGCCU
rnacentral:rRNA from 1 species